UCUCAGCCUUCCAAGCUGCUGAGAUUACAGGUUUGUGCCACCACGCCCAGCCGGAUCUCUGUUUUUUAAAACUCUUGAUCUGUGAUAUUUGUCAUGGCAGGUAUAGCAUACCUUCUGGCCCAAGCCGGAAAGAAGAAAAGUCACCUGGUAAGAGAAAAAUGAGGAAAAGCAAAGUAAGCAAAAGGAACUAUUAAAAAGAAUCGUUUAAUCUUGCAAAUUGAAUAUAAUCAACGGAAUAUAAUUCAACUCUUUUGUACAGUUGAUCUUUCAAAAGAUAAUAGGAGCAAUAGAAAGGGAUGGUGGGGGCUUUCUCAAUUAGAUAGUCCCUUUACCGAUUUGCUCUCAAUGUUGUAGUUUAACAAAGCAAUAUAGAAACGAAGAUGAGUAAAAGAGUGACUAUAUGAGUGCUUCCUAACAUGUGUUGGACUCACUUUUAUCACCUGGAGGCAAGGCCAUAGUUGGAGGGCGAAACACAAAUCCAGUGCCUGCUCUUGUCUAGUAAGCAUUAGCCGACGAAAUAGAUCUUUUUUUUUGUGGUGGACAUAAUAGAUAUCAAUAAACAUUAGAGAAACCACAUUUUGUUUACUAAUAUUCUUUUAAUAUUCUCAGUACAUGAAAUGUAAAUAUUCACACCAUUCCCUUUAGAACUGUGCUGUCCAACAAGACAGCCAUUUGCCAGAUAUGGUUAUUUAAAUUUAAAUAAACCGAAAUCUCAUUUUAAUCAAAUUAAUUCAAAUCAAUUAAAUUUAAUUACACUGAAAUUUCAGUUCCUUUGGUCAGACACGUCAUCUUUCAAGUGACUACUAACCAGAUGUGACUAAUGGUUGCCAUAUCAGAUAGCAAAACGUUAGAAUAUUUCCAUCAUCCCAGAAAAUUCCAUUGAUAGCACUGCUUUAGGAUAUAAAAUUUGGCCAGCUUUAUUGACACCGUAAUCAAUACUCUAAUAUUUUAAUGCUCUGUAUAACUGGUAUUCAUUUUGUCGUUAGUUUUCCUUUCUGUUUCAGGGAACACGUGAUUUCUCUUUGCUUAAGUUUAAAACAGAAACACAGGUUUUAAUCUAGUCAAGAAAUGCUACCUCAGCAACUUGUGAGUCAAAGCAAAUGUAGUCAGGAGGGGCUGCUCCAUUAUUAUUUUUUUUUUUUUCUCCCAGAAAGAUCAACUUUCACAUCGUGUUAAAAAUGUUUCAGUUGGCUGCAUCCUGACUAUUCCCUGGUAGACAUCUGCUUCCCUGUGGGGGCAGGAGAAGGCCGCAUGUGAUGUAUGUUUCAGGUGGUCUCAGGUCAGCUUUCAGUGCGUGUGGAGAAAAGGAGGGUGUUGGACACCGUAACCACCAACUGCCCAUCCUGCCCAGCAUCCUGCCCCCCACAGUGGCAGAGACUGGAGCAUCAAAGGAAAGCACAAAUUCCUCACAACACAUUUAAUUGUGCAAUCCUACACCCGGGAAAUGUUUUCUCUGACCUAGACUGGUAAUCAGCUUAUGCCCUAAAGCAUGAGAAAAGGGUCAUUAAUUAUACAGUGAACCGGGUUUUAUAAGGAUCACUUCGGUAUGGAAAAAAGAAUGCAAAGUGCCUUUAACUAAUGUGUUUCUAUGUCCCUUCCAUAAAAGUGGAGCAUGGGAGGUUUUUAUACUAUUUCUUAUUUUCAAAAGAAAAAAAAAUAGUGACCCCCUAAUUAAGGAUAUUGCUGGCAGGCUGUAGAGAGAAAACAGGGUUAGAAUGGAAAUGCCAUAGGUUGAAGGAGAAGGUAUAUAUGUGCCUUGCUAGGGGCACAUUAUUCUCUUUCUUCUCUUUUAAUUGCAAAAUAUAUAAAAGGUGUUAGGGCUUACAGAGCUUUUUUUAUUGUUUUGUUUUAAAGCUGUUCGAAUGGCCCACGGAGAUUUAACCCCCUUCACCCCUAAGCAAGCUGUGCGCCUUCCCAUCUGAACCAGAAGGAAGGAGGAGAAGCAGGCAGAGAAUGGUAUCUUUCUUGGACUAGCCCAACACUGGCAUGUGUGACUGCCACCCUGAUGGUCAUUUCUUUCUACAGCCCUCACUGGAAAUCAGAUACACAGGACAAUUGUGAGAGAAGAGGACACCAACUACCAGGAGCCACCCUGGUUUUUGUGAGACAAUAUUGAAGUUCAUAAGGAAACCCAAGUGGAUGCUGAAUGGUAGAAAACAAAGGGAGAAUUAGGAGAAUACUGGUGCGAAGGUUGGAGUGGGGGAGCUCAGAGACCUUGAUGUCCAUCCAGCUUUGCCCUCAGUUUCUGACAUCAUGCUGCUGUUCCUUCCAGUGAUUUAGAAUUGCAGGAAACUUUUAAAAUCCCAAGUGGGAUCACGUUAAGACCUUUUUGAGGUCUU